rnacentral:misc_RNA from 1 species
AACUUUCAGCAAUGGAUCACUGUUAGAAUCGCAUGGAUAGGCACUCUCGUACUUACUACGAUUGCCAGGAGAAGGGAGAUAAGCAUGUACCAAGAUACGAACGGCACGGCGUUAGUGCCUCCGCUAGAGAACGGUGACCGCCUCUCUCGCGCUGAGUUCGAGCGCCGUUAUGACGCCAUGCCGCACCUGAAGAAGGCGGAAUUGAUCGAGGGAGUCGUUUAUAUGGGGUCACCCGUUCGUCACGAACAUCACGGAAAACCUCAUAACGAUCUGGGGACUUACCUGGGGAUCUACCGACAAUUUACGCCUGGGACGAAUAGCGGCGAAGGCUCUUCUGUUCGCAUGGACUUAAGCAUAUCAAUAAGCGGAGGCU